UACGUAGGGUGCAAGCGUUGUCCGGAAUUAUUGGGCGUAAAGAGCUCGUAGGCGGUCUGUCGCGUCGGCUGUGAAAACCCGAGGCUCAACCUCGGGCCUGCAGUCGAUACGGGCAAACUAGAGUACUGCAGGGGAGACUGGAAUUCCUGGUGUAGCGGUGAAAUGCGCAGAUAUCAGGAGGAACACCGAUGGCGAAGGCAGGUCUCUGGGCAUUAACUGACGCUGAGGAGCGAAAGCAUGGGGAGCGAACAGG
rnacentral:rRNA from 1 species